UACAGAGGGGGCAAGCGUUGUUCGGAAUUACUGGGCGUAAAGGGCGCGUAGGCGGCCUGCUAAGUCGAACGUGAAAUCCCCAGGCUCAACCUGGGAACUGCGUCUGAUACUGGAUGGCUUGAAUCCGGGAGAGGGAUGCAGAAUUCCAGGUGUAGCGGUGAAAUGCGUAGAUAUCUGGAGGAAUACCGGUGGCGAAGGCGGCAUCCUGGACCGGCAUUGACGCUGAGGAGCGAAAGCUAGGGGAGCAAACGGG
rnacentral:rRNA from 1 species